GAAUGAAGGGGACAGCCAGGGAGUUAUCAUGGUCCUUGCGGUUGUCAUUCCCAUGACUGUGCCAUUCGCGUUUGUACAGGUAUUUCUCGGUUCGCUAUACAGAGAUGGAGCUUGCAGAACACAUUAAUUUACCGGUCGAUGGCAUGUGGGCUGAACUCGUGUGUGGAUGCGCAACG